UACAGAGGAGCCAAGCGUUGUCCGGAAUUAUUGGGCGUAAAGAGCUCGUAGGCGGUCUGUCGCGUCUGCUGUGAAAACUCGGGGCUUAACCCCGGGCCUGCAGUGGGUACGGGCAGACUAGAGUGCGGUAGGGGAGACUGGAAUUCCUGGUGUAGCGGUGAAAUGCGCAGAUAUCAGGAGGAACACCGGUGGCGAAGGCGGGUCUCUGGGCCGUAACUGACGCUGAGGAGCGAAAGCAUGGGGAGCGAACAGG
rnacentral:rRNA from 1 species